UACGAAGGGGGCUAGCGUUGUUCGGAUUUACUGGGCGUAAAGCGCGUGUAGGCGGAUCGUUAAGUUGGGGGUGAAAUCCCGGAGCUCAACUCCGGAACUGCCUCCAAAACUGGCGAUCUGGAGCAGAGAAGAGGCGAGUGGAAUACCGAGUGUAGAGGUGAAAUUCGUAGAUAUUCGGUGGAACACCAGUGGCGAAGGCGACUCGCUGGUCUCUUGCUGACGCUGAGACGCGAAAGCGUGGGGAGCAAACAGG
rnacentral:rRNA from 1 species